rnacentral:rRNA from 1 species
CCUACGGGGGGCAGCAGUGAGGAAUAUUGGUCAAUGGCCGGAAGGCUGAACCAGCCAAGCCGCGUGAAAGACGAAGGUGCCAUGCAUUGUAAACUUCUUUUGUCAAGGGACAAAAUCAGGCUCGAGAGCCUGACCGAGGGUACUUUACGAAUAAGCAUCGGCUAACUCCGUGCCAGCAGCCGCGGUAAUACGGAGGAUGCGAGCGUUAUCCGGAUUUAUUGGGUUUAAAGGGUGCGUAGGGGGACUGUUAAGUCAGCGGUAAAAGCCCGGGGCUCAACCCGGGAGAGCCGUUGAAACUGGCGGUCUUGAGAGGGCGAGAGGUAGGCGGAAUGCGCAGUGUAGCGGUGAAAUGCUUAGAGAUUGCGCAGAACUCCGAUUGCGAAGGCAGCAUACCGGCGGCGAUCUGACGCUGAGGCACGAAAGCGUGGGUAUCGAACAGGAUUAGAUACCCGUGUAGUC